GCCUGCAUAGCUCAGCUGGAUAGAGUCCAUUCCUUCUAAGAAUGUUGUCGCAGGUUCGAGCCCUGCUGCGGGCUCCA
rnacentral:tRNA from 1 species